GACUCAUCCUAUCUACAUAGUGAGUAGAGUUAUUUUUGGUGCUAUCAACGACUACGCAUCAAAUUUUGGUGCCGUUGCUGUGGAUCUUGGCAUGGUUGAAUUAAAAAAAAUAAAAUCACUGACAUUUCAUAACACUUAACUAAAAUAGCGUAACCUCAAAUAUAAAAUUUUUUAACUUGAUUGGACACCUUGUUUCUUUGCAUUGCA
rnacentral:lncRNA from 1 species